rnacentral:rRNA from 1 species
UAACANGUGAGUGACCUGCCUUUUAGACUGGAACAACUUACCGAAAGGUGAGCUAAUGCCGGAUGAGUUAUAUAAGUGCAUGUUUAUAUAGGAAAAGUUGGGGAGACCUGACGCUGAAAGAUGGACUCGCGUCCCAUUAGCUAGUUGGUAGGGUAAUGGCCUACCAAGGCGACGAUGGGUAGCCGGCCUGAGAGGGUGGCCGGCCACACUGGGACUGAGACACGGCCCAGACUCCUACGGGAGGCAGCAGUGGGGAAUUUUGCGCAAUGCUCGUAAGAGUGACGCAGCGACGCCGCGUGAAUGACGAAGGCCUUCGGGUCGUAAAGUUCUUUCGACAGGGAAGAAAAUGCCUAUAAGUAACUGUGUAUGUAUUGACGGUACCUGUAUAAGCAGCCCCGGCUAACUCCGUGCCAGCAGCCGCGGUAAUACGGAGGGGGCGAGCGUUGUUCGGAGUGACUGGGCGUAAAGAGCACGUAGGCGGUGUUGUAAGUCAUUAGUCAAAGACUAGAGCUCAACUUUAGUAAGGCUAGUGAUACUAUAAUACUAGAGUAUCAGAGAGGAUUGCAGAAUUCAUGGUGUAGCGGUGAAAUGCGUAGAUAUCAGGAGGAAUACCGUUAGCGAAGGCGGCNAUCUGGCUGGAAACUGACGCUGAGGUGCGAAAGCGUGGGUAGCAAACAGGAUUAGAUACCCUGGUAGUCC